UCCCUGGUUGUCCAGUGGUUAAGACUCUGUGCUCCCAAUACAUAGGGGUCAGGGUUCAAUUCCUGGUCAGGGAA
rnacentral:tRNA from 1 species